AUACGGAGGAUGCAAGCGUUAUCCGGAUUUAUUGGGUUUAAAGGGUGCGUAGGCGGUUUGCUAAGCGGGAGGUGAAAUGCCGGCGCUCAACGUCGGAAGUGCCUCCCGAACUGGUGGACUUGAAUGACUCUGCCGUGGGAGGAAUGUGUAGUGUAGCGGUGAAAUGCUUAGAGAUUACACAGAACACCGAUUGCGAAGGCAUCUCACGAAGGGUUGAUUGACGCUGAGGCACGAAAGCGUGGGGAUCAAACAGGAUUAGAUACCCUGGUAGUCCACGCAGUAACGAUGAUGGCUAACCGCUGGGCUUAUCAGUUCAGUGGCCAAGCGAAAGCGAUAAGCCAUCCACCUGGGGAGUACGACCGCAAGGUUGAAACUCAAAGGAAUUGACGGGG
rnacentral:rRNA from 1 species